UCACUUUGGCAGUGCAUAGCCUAAAAUUUAAAGGAGACAGAGAUGAUUAGCAUGGCCCCUGUGCAAGGGUGACGUGUAGAUUUGUGAAGCGUUCUAUAUUUAA
ensembl:snRNA U6 U6 spliceosomal RNA